GGCUCUCGGCGGAAGGCCUUCUGGGAGUCGUAGUCCUGCGGCCGCCCGGCCUAGCCCGGUCGCUCGGGCCCACUAAACACUGCUCCGCCCCGCGGUGGGACCGAGGUUUCUGCCCUCCGCGGCCUGGGCCGCAGCCCGGCCCGGCCUGCCGUCGCCCUGCAGCCCUGUCCAACGCCGGGUUAACGUCUGGACUCACAGCCAACCGAGACACCAGAGGGAGAGCGGUCUAACCAAAUAGCUGGUUAAACCACAAAACACAGACAUAAAAAUCACGUCUGACUAGAAUACGGUUUUAUACCCCGCUUUUAUUACGAGGAAUUCAUUUAAGAGUAAAAUUCUGUCUCGAUGACUUCUUGUUUGCUGAUCGCGAUGCGCCCGCGGCCUUCCGUAAGCGCCGGGUGGACGCCGCGCACCCUCGCGCAGGCCUGCGCGGGCAGGGCUGGCAGCGGCACAGCAGGGCGAGGCGUGCGGAGGGCGGCGCGGCCCGCCUGGGCAUAACGUGCGGGAGCCUCGCCUCCGCUGCCGAAGAAAGAUCAAGUCAAUUGAGAGAAAGCCAAAGAAGAAUCGUAUGCAUUAAAGCUGCCUCAGGAGAAUAGUAACUGUUUUAACAUACUUGUCAACAAGUGUUGCAAUACCAUCUUCAAAUGUUGCUUGCUUAUGCAGGGUAUUGAACAGGAAUCACAGCUCCCUGGAUAUAAUGAAAACAGUGAAGCCAGGGAAGUGAUUUUAUAAUCAAGAUUGUCAGACAGUUUCAUUAUACAUUUAGUUUUGUUAUCUAUCUAUCAACUUGUUUUCAGCAUGAAUUUUGAAUGACUAGUCCUGAGGGAUUUUUUUCUCAGAAGAGAUGAAAGUCAGUCCGCUAUCUCUUUGCAAGUUAAAGGACAUGAACAGAGUGCCUGGAUAUUAUGGUACUUCCAUGGUUUCUUCCAAACAUGUAAGAAGURGUGAGUGUGGAUGGAUCGUUCCCCAGUUUUCAAUUAAAUCAUGUUCCAAAGAAAAGAAAAGAAUGAAGGAAAGUGCUGCUGAUUUUUGUACAUGCAAAGAAAAAAAAGAAAAAAGAAAAAAAAAGAAAAGAAACAAGUUGUUUAGCGAGUUUCUUUUYUCUCUGUCAGGUAACAUAGUCAUUUAUAUUAAUCACCAGGAAAACUGCAAAUCCAAGUCCUGGAACAAAGGGUUCCCACCCGAGUAA
ensembl:lncRNA